rnacentral:rRNA from 1 species
UCCGUAGGUGAACCUGCGGAGGGAUCAUUACACAAAGAUAUGAAGGUAGGGUACUGGCAACAGUGCUCUGCUGAAAUAUUUUCACCCAUGUCUUUUGCGCACUUUUUGUUUCCUGGGCGAGUUUGCUCGCCACCAGGACCCCCAUAUGAACCUUUUUUGUUUUUGCACUCAGCGUCAGUACAAUAAUUUAAUCUAUUAAAACUUUCAACAACGGAUCUCUUGGUUCUGGCAUCGAUGAAGAACGCAGCGAAAUGCGAUACGUAGUGUGAAUUGCAGAAUUCAGUGAAUCAUCGAAUCUUUGAACGCACAUUGCGCCCUUUGGUAUUCCAAAGGGCAUGCCUGUUCGAGCGUCAUUUGUACCCUCAAGCUUUGCUUGGUGUUGGGCGUCUUAUUGUCUCUCCGUCUCGGGGAGACUCGCCUUAAAACAAUUGGCAGCCGGCCUACUGGUUUCGGAGCGCAGCACAAAUUUGCGCUUGCAAUCAGCCAAGGGCGGCAUCCAUGAAGCCUUUUUUCUCUCACAUUUUGACCUCGGAUCAGGUAGGGAUACCCGCUGAACUUAAG